rnacentral:rRNA from 1 species
UGGGGAAUAUUGCACAAUGGGCGGAAGCCUGCUGCAGCGACGCCGCGAGGGGGAUGAAGGCCUUCGGGUUGUAAACUCCUUUCGACAGGGACGAAGCUUUUGUGACGGUACCUGUAUAAGAAGCACCGGCUAACUACGUGCCAGCAGCCGCGGUAAUACGUAGGGUGCGAGCGUUGUCCGGAAUUACUGGGCGUAAAGAGCUCGUAGGUGGUUUGUCGCGUCGUCUGUGAAAUUCCGGGGCUUAACUCCGGGCGUGCAGGCGAUACGGGCUGACUUGAGUGCUGUAGGGGAGACUGGAAUUCCUGGUGUAGCAGUGAAAUGCGCAGAUAUCAGGAGGAACACCGAUGGCGAAGGCAGGUCUCUGGGCAGUAACUGACGCUGAGGAGCGAAAGCAUGGGUAGCGAACAGG